rnacentral:tRNA from 1 species
CAGCUAUGGUUCAUCGGUAGAACAUCGGCUUCCCAAGCCGAAGAGGGGGGUUCGAUUCCCCUUAGCUG